rnacentral:rRNA from 1 species
GACGAACGCUGGCGGCGUGCUUAACACAUGCAAGUCGAACGAUGAAGCUCCAGCUUGCUGGGGUGGAUUAGUGGCGAACGGGUGAGUAACACGUGAGUAACCUGCCCUUCACUUUGGGAUAAGCCUUGGAAACGGGGUCUAAUACUGGAUAUUCAUACAUGGUCGCAUGGUUGUGUGUGGAAAGACUUUUGGUGGGGGAUGGACUCGCGGCCUAUCAGCUUGUUGGUGAGGUAGUGGCUUACCAAGGCUUUGACGGGUAGCCGGCCUGAGAGGGUGACCGGCCACACUGGGACUGAGACACGGCCCAG